GAUGAACGCUGGCGGCGUGCUUAACACAUGCAAGUCGAACGGUGAAGCAGGAGCUUGCUCCUGUGGAUCAGUGGCGAACGGGUGAGUAACGCGUGAGCAAUCUGCCCUGGACUCUGGGAUAAGCGUUGGAAACGACGUCUAAUACCGGAUACGAGGCGUGGGGGCAUCCCCAACGCCUGGAAAGAACUUCGGUCCAGGAUGAGCUCGCGGCCUAUCAGGUAGUUGGUGGGGUAACGGCUCACCAAGCCGACGACGGGUAGCCGGCCUGAGAGGGUGACCGGCCACACUGGGACUGAGACACGGCCCAGACUCCUACGGGAGGCAGCAGUGGGGAAUAUUGCACAAUGGGCGCAAGCCUGAUGCAGCAACGCCGCGUGAGGGACGACGGCCUUCGGGUUGUAAACCUCUUUUAGCAGGGAAGAAGCGAAAGUGACGGUACCUGCAGAAAAAGCACCGGCUGACUACGUGCCAGCAGCCGCGGUAAUAC
rnacentral:rRNA from 1 species